AGGAGUGAGCCACACUGGAUAGGCGGCUGGUCUCCAAAACCAGCGGAAUGCAGGUUCGAUUCCUGCCACUCCUG
rnacentral:tRNA from 1 species